rnacentral:rRNA from 1 species
CCUACGGGAGGCAGCAGUGAGGAAUAUUGGUCAAUGGACGCAAGUCUGAACCAGCCAUGCCGCGUGCAGGAAGACGGCUCUAUGAGUUGUAAACUGCUUUGGUACGAGGGUAAACGCAUAUAUGCGUAUCUGUCUGAAAGUAUCGUACGUAUAAGGAUAGGCUAACUCCGUGCCAGCAGCCGCGGUAAUACGGAGGAUUCAAGCGUUACCCGGAUUGAUUGGGUUUAAAGGGUGCGUAGGCGGUCGGAUAAGUUAGAGGUGAAAUCCCGAGGCUCAACUUCGGAAUUGCAUCUGAUACUGUUCGGCUAGAGAGUAGUAGCGGUAGGCAGAAUGUAUGGUGUAGCGGUGAAAUGCUUAGAGAUCAUACAGAACACCGAUGGCGAAGGCAGCUUCCCAGGAUACUUCUGACGUUGAGGCGCGAAAGCGUGGGGAGCAAACAGGAUUAGAUACCCGUGUAGUC